GUAGGGAAUAUUGCGCAAUGGACGAAAGUCUGACGCAGCGACGCCGCGUGAGUGAUGAAGGCCUUAGGGUCGUAAAGCUCUGUUGAAUGGGAAGAAAAAAAUGACGGUACCAUUCGAGGAAGGACCGGCUAACUUCGUGCCAGCAGCCGCGGUAAUACGAGGGGUCCUAGCGUUGUUCGGAAUCAUUGGGCGUAAAGGGUGUGUAGGUGGCCAUGUAAGUCAGGUGUGAAAGCCCCGGGCUCAACCCGGGAAGUGCACUUGAUACUGCGUGGCUUGAGUACCGAAGAGGGUAGUGGAAUUCCAGGUGUAGUGGUGAAAUACGUAGAUAUCUGGAGGACCACCGGUGGCGAAGGCGGCUACCUGGUCGAGUACUGACACUGAGACACGAAAGCAUGGGGAUCAAACAGGAUUAGAUACCCCGGUAGUCC
rnacentral:rRNA from 1 species